rnacentral:lncRNA from 1 species
AUGACCACGUUCAAGAAAAACAGGAAGAAGAGAGGCCAUGUCAGCGCCGGUCAUGGUCGUAUCGCAAAACACCGUAAGCAUCACGGAGGUCGCCGUGACAAUGGAGGUUCAAGUUCUUUGUUUUCACUUCCGUAUUGUUUGCAUCUACGUUUUCACUACCCAUGUUCAUUUAAUUUUUCAUGUCCUGAUAUGCAAAUCACGGCGUCACAGAAGGCGAUGGCGGUUGAAGAUGUUGAUUCACGGGAACCGAGAUGGCAGACGCAUGAUUAA